rnacentral:misc_RNA from 1 species
GAUGAAGAACGUAGCGAAAUGCGAUAAGUAAUGUGAAUUGCAGAAUUCAGUGAAUCAUCGAAUCUUUGAACGCACAUUGCGCCCGCCAGUAUUCUGGCGGGCAUGCCUGUUCGAGCGUCAUUUCAACCAUCAAGCCCUGCUUGCGUUGGGGUCCUGCGGCUGCCCGCAGGCCCUGAAAACCAGUGGCGGGCUCGCUAGUCACACCGAGCGCAGUAAUACAUCUCUCUUUGGGCGUGCGGCGGGUUCUUGCCGUUAAACACCCCCUUUUUACCAAGGUUGACCUCGGAUCAGGUAGGAAUACCCGCUGAACUUAAGCAUAUCAAUAAGCGGAGGA